ensembl:lncRNA
GGGAGAGGGAGAGGGAGAGGGAUCGAGCUAGGGAAGAGAGAAGGAGGGGAGAGGAGAGAGAAGGAGAGAGAGAGAGAGAGAGACGGGGGGAGGGAGAGAGAGAGAGAGGCGCAGAGGGAGGGAGGGAAACCAAACCCCUGCCUUUACUGCCUUGAAAGCUUCUGAAUUUCAAGCAGAAAGUAGGAGCCCCGUAAGGCACUGAGUGUCUCUCCUUGGGCUGCGCGUUCGGAGCGAAGACAAUGAAAACCUCCACCCCCUCCCCCAUCCCUGCCAGACUGCGAUAUUUUUGUUUUCGUUCGUUCUCAACAGUGGAAGAUAAUGUAAAAUCAAAUAUAUAGACAAGUGUAGAUAUUUUUAAAAACAAAAACAACCCAACGGGCUGGGACGCGGAUUACCCAAACGCACGCCGGCUGGGCGCCUUCUGGGGUCUCCGCGCAGCACUGGCUCUGGGCGCUCUCUCCGUUCCUCGGACGCAGCCCGAGCGGGCCGCUCCUUCCGGCCCACCGCGCCGUGGGGACGCCGCGAACAGAGCUGCCGCCCCGGCCGCCUCCGCCCGCCGCCCGCCGCCUCCGCCCGCCGCCCCCGGGGCUCCGCCCGCUGAGGUCCACUCCCCUCACCCUCCUUUCUCCUGCCUGCCCUCCCUCGGCGGGCCGAGCACUUUCAGCCUCAGACCUCAAGCCGAAGUCCGAGGAGUGCGUGUCUGCUGCGCUGCUUCCAGCCGAAAUCCCCCGGUCCGGCCCAGACCCAGGGUCCGCACUCGGGGCGGUGGGGAAGCCUUAAGAGCAGGCUUUUCUCUAUGCAGCAAAAUCGUCCCCAGACCAGAUGGGCGGCCCAGCUCUCCCGGGACCAGGCAGGUGCGGUUGAGUUAAUUUUUCCGCAUUACAAAGAAAGAUGACCCGAGCGCCCUUGGAUUCUCAUCUUUUCCCAAAAUUUCCCUAGCCAAACUGCGGUAACAUUAUCGGAAGACCCCAGGACGAGGCGAAUCCGUGUGUUUCUCUUACAUACACACACGCAUGUUAAUUUUUUCCCUUUUACAUGCUAGAUUUCUUCCUCAGAAGCAGAAAUGAUUGACGAAGGGUUCCACAACAGAUCAUGGGACGGCGGGGUCCUUAAACCCUGACAUUCUCUACCAGUGCCUUAGGAAGGAGUCAAGGUGAAGCGCUUCGGAUAAUUGCCUUCAGUAAAAUAACACGAUUGCAAAAUUAUAUCUCUGCCUGCGGGGCAAUUAACUUCGAUCCGUGCCAUCAUUUGAAAAGUAGAUUUACAAGCGAAUGUAUGUUUUUAGGUGUGCUGUAAAUGGCAUGCAGAUAUAUGCAUGUGUACACGCAGACACAUGAAUACUCUAGACUUCUACCCAGCAGACUCAUUAACAGCGGCUCUGGGCUCUGGCAGAUGUGGCUGGAGGCGAGCUCAGGCGGCAGCAGGCGCGUGAGUUAGGACCUUGGGAGAAGGGACCCAGAGCUCCGGGGAGGGGAAGGGCAAGAAGAGAACUGUGGUAGUUUUGGCGGGUCAGUUACUUUCCGGAUCAAGAACAGAGACUCUGCCCUCCGUGUUCACAGCGGACCUUGAUUUAAUGUCAUACAAUUAAGGCACGCGGUGAAUGCCAAGAGCGGAGCCUAAGGCUCACCUAGAGAAUGCUAGAGCGUUUAAGAGGCGGCAAGGGGAAGAGACUAUGGCUGGGGAUCGUGGAGAGUGGUAUCAUGAAGCCAUCCCUUGCCACAUAAAUGCCGCCGCAUUGAUUGCAGAGAUGAGCUAGUGUUUUGAAGUGAAAGAGUCGCACUUUUUAGUAAAAGCCUCCGAAAUCCGGAGGCAAAUUCCCAAGGUGGAUUUUAGGGGCUUCAUCGACAGCUGUCAGGAGAGCAGUAGUUCCCAUUUGUGCAAAUAUCCCACAGAAGCGUUUAGAGAGAACUGGCUUUUCAACACAUGAAUCUGCAAUCUGGGUCAGAUGGCGAAACAAAAUAGAAGAGAGGGGAGUAUAGCACAGAUUAUGGUACCAUAACCACACGGAACAAGAAAUCUAAAAUUGUUUAACUCUGGAGCGAAGAUGGAAACAACAGCCCCCGCUCGACCUGGCCUUGACUUCUCCCUUUCUCCUUCCAAUCUGGAGUCCUCGGCCUCCUUACCUUUAAAACGCGAGCAUAGCUUCCUUGUUUUGGUGCUGUCACAAAGGCCAAAAUCAGUAAAAAGAAUAGAAUAGGGUGAAAGACCGAGUUCAGAAACUUUACAAGGAUGUGGUAAAUUAUUUGGAAGCCAGUGAGGUAGACUGACUGUUCGGGCAGUAGUUCCACACCUCGGCCUUGGAGCCUAAGGAAAACCUAGGCUGAAAAAGCUUGCCUUGAGAGAUGUCUUUGUUCUGCCUUGGCCUGCAGUGGCUGGGAACAAAGGAGUGCGGCUUCGAGGAUGCUCCCGAGUGGCCGCGCCCUCCGCGCCUGGCGCUGUCCGUGGUGCUGACCCCCUUCUCGCUCCCUAGUUCAACCAGAAAAGCAGUAGGUCUCACUUCCACCCGAAAGAGUAACAGGGUGUUAGGUAAUUUACUAAAUAAAAAUUAAAAAGAGGGAGAGGUCACAUAUAGCGAAACAACAUUUUACCGAAAUUGUACACUAGCUAUUGCCACACUUGAGCUUACUUUUCCAUCUUCAGUAGGUACUCACCUUCAGACAGUGUAUGUACAUUGGAACACAAUUUAAGUUGGUUUAGACUGAAACCUAAAUACGUAAAAACAAGGAGCCAGGCUUGCAAGAAAGAGAAGCAGAAUGAAGGGUUUUUAUUAUUGUUUUCUUUCUUAUAUCGUCUCCCUUAAAAUAUGGAAACAAAGUCCUCAACUGCGGAUCUUAGUGCUGAUGUAGUUAUCAGAGAGACUCUGAACAGACUCCAGUGUGGACUUCAAGAUUUGCCAGGAAGGAACAGGAUUGGGAGUGACUAAGUGAGACCUGGCAGUAGCCAAUGCAGCCUGGAAACGAGGAACAGGCUAGUAGCAGGACAGCCUUCUUAUGUCGGCCCAGGAGGCCAAGCUCCCGGACAUCUCCCGGCCACCGGUGCACCGGACUCUGCUCAGCGCAUCCCCGCCAGCGGGAGGCACUGCAGCAUCUGAAGGCCUGAAACCCGCACUGCGGAAAAAUCAGCCACAGCAGCAUCCUUCUGUUAGUCUCUGCCUGCCUACCGGAAAUAGGCAGAAUGGCUUAGUAAAUCCCAUGCAAUGAAGAUUUACUUUAGUACUGUAGUAGUGGAGGGUUGGAUGUGUGGGUAUUGAUAUUUUCAACAAAUUUUAAAAUUCUCAGCAUAUUUCAUUAUCCCAACUUAGCUAUUGAGAGUAUUAAAUAUAAACAAUAACAUUUAAAUGCCCUAAUUAAUGAAUUAAAAGGGAAAGAAAGAAAUAGGAAAUAAAUGUGUAGCCAGUCUGGGCUCAAAAAAGAUAUUGCUGCGUUUUUUAUGUGUUAGUUUAUAAAGUCACUGACGUAAACCUUGUUAAAAUAAGUAACAGAUAAAAUGAUAUAGAUUGGGUAAUAGAGGCAGCAACACUGAUUUUUUAAUGCAGAUGUUGAAAUGGGUCAUACAUUGACAAUAGCCUAAAAGAGAUAUUUUCAUUACAUUUGUUGUUUUACACCUGAAUGAUGAAGAUGCAUCAAAUGAUUCAGGAAAUGAAAGCAGCCAAGCACAAUAUCCUCAGCAGUCUAUCUCUUUGCCCCCAGCCUUGGGGCAGAUUUUAUUUUCCUCUCAUUUUAGAGCUCUGUGAGUGUUUCGUAUGCAAUAAUUAUUUAAGUUUACAUUUAAUUUUAUAUAACUUGAGAAAAAGUAGGUAAAACAUUGGGAAAAAAGAGUUACCAAGUAAAUGAAGAAGAUAAGGAAGAGGUUGGGAUUAUUUUUCUUCUGCCAAUUUAAAGUAGCCAUUGAAAAUCGAAAUGGACUUAAGCAACAGAGGUUAUCACAGAUGACUCCACUUCCUUCCAGUAGUCAUUCAAUUCCCUUGAUUUUCUGCAUCUCCCCAUGUGAAUUUCCCAAAGCAACCAUCUAAAGAGGCGAACUAUUUCUGCUUGCAUUCUGUUGUAACUCAUUACAUAAUAAGAGCACACCUAAUCCCCCACACUCUAAUCCUACCUGUUUAACACAGUUCUAAACUCUAGAUUUAAAAAGCUUAAUCACUUUUAAAAAUUGCUUUCUAGAAGAAAAUAAAAUAUAUGAUAUGAGUGUUACUGCCUAAAUAAGGGAAUGAACACACAAUUUAGAAAUGUAGUUGCCAAGAUUAAGUUCAGAGUGGUUAUUGAUCCAUAAUGUCUCAAGAUUUUAAGACUAUUUUCAGUUGCUUUCAAAAAUAAGCAUCCAGUUUAAUGCCUAUUACAAAUGUUUCCUGCUAUGAAAUUCUAUGCUCAGAAGUUUUGUAAUAAAACAACCCAGGCUUCUCAAUUGGAGAACUUCUGCACAGCGUGCUGUAGGAGUCCUUUAACAAUCACAACUUUCAUCUAGUGGACUGAAAUUAAAGCUUCUCAGAAUAAUUUAGGAACAAUUUGACCCAUUGAGAUACUCAAGCCCUCAGGGAAAUAGUGUGUUUCCUUCCUGAGAACAAGAUCUAGCUCGGUGCAUUGGGAGGUAUCUGAAGGCAACAAUAAAUACCGAAGCGCCCUCUGCUGCCCAUAUAAAGUCAGGACACGAGUUACAAAAGCCAGAUGGCACCAAGUCUCAGCAAGUGGAGGAAACAUUAAGCUCUUAAGAACGUUUAAUCUGUGAAAUUUAAAAGCUCUCAUCAUAUUUUGCUUCUGAAAGGGCCACCUGAUUUUUAUUUUGAACAUUUCUUGAGUCAUUGCUUUCUACUCUGUAGGAUAGUGAAAAGUCACUAUUUUGAAAUUUACCGUGUCAUUUCUGUAUUAGUAUUUUGUGCUUUUCCUUUCCCAGAUUUUAUUUGGAACAUAAAAUUCCAAAUCAGAACGGAAGACCUCUAUGCUAGGAGUUGAAUGGAGCAAUUUUUUUCUAUUUUUUCCAUGCCUAAGAUCUAAUAAUGGAAAAAAAAUAAUUAAAAUAAAGAUACAAAGCAUAGAUUAAUUGUUUUGAAGCUAUAAUUUCAAAAAAUUAAGGAAUUUCCAAUGUAAAGAAUUAUUUUUGUUGUUUUGCUUUGAUAAUUAACUGAGAUUUUGCUCAUACUUUAAAUUUGGGAAUAAAAAGUUAGUUGUGUUAAGAAAGAAGUUAAGAAAUCUGCACCACUCUUACGUAUAUGAUUUUGGCCCUGGAAACCUUCUUAAUUUAUAUCCAUAUUCAGUUUGCAAAGACUCAGCAAAGAACCCACUGUAAGUAGAAAUAAUCAGAUAUGUAGAUAUGGCGGCAGUAUGUGCAAACCCAGGAGAAAUGUUAUUUGCAUUAAAAUGAGUUUUUCAAUAUUGAUAAAUUUAUUCUCAAAUGAAAGUCUUAUUAAAAGGUUAAAAC